CUGCACAAAACUGUGGAAGGGCUUGGUAGAACCUUGCCCUUUCCCAGUUUCUCAGCCUCAUACAAAAAAGAUUAUAUUUUUCUUUCAUCGACCUAAUAUUGUAUAUCUGUUAUAGGUAUGUCCAGGGCCUGAUGGAAAGCUCUAUAUGAAUAUAGUUUGUCCUGUUGAUGUGAUAGCCAUGCCAGAGAAGACUCUUCCUGAUCUACAAAGUACCCAGCAUGCAUUGCAGAUCAUGCAGAAUGUUUCUAGGUUUCCAGAGCAACCAUUUUUCCUGGCUGUUGGAUACCAUAAGCCUCACAUUCCACUGAAGUAUCCUAGAGAAUAUCUCAGUUUGUA
rnacentral:lncRNA from 1 species